GACGAACGCUGGCGGCGUGCUUAACACAUGCAAGUCGAACGGAAAGGCCCUGCUUUUGUGGGGUGCUCGAGUGGCGAACGGGUGAGUAACACGUGAGUAACCCGCCCUUGACUUUGGGAUAACUUCAGGAAACUGGGGCUAAUACCGGAUAGGAUCUCCUGCUGCAUGGUGGGGGUUGGAAAGUUACGGCGGUUGGGGCUGGACUCGCGGCUUAUCGGCUUGUUGGUGUGGUAGUGGCUUACCAAGGCUUUGACGGAUAGCCGGCCUGGGAGGGUUGACGGGCACAUUGGGACUAAGAUAGGGACCAGAAUCCAACGGGAGGCAGCAGUGGAGAGUAUUGCACAGUGGGCGGAAGCGAGAUGCAGCAACCCCGGGUGCGGGAUGACGGCCUACGAGUUGUAAACCGAUUUCGCCUGUGACGAAGAGUGAGUGACGGUAAUGAGUAAAGAAGCACCGGCUAACUACGUG
rnacentral:rRNA from 1 species